GAUGAACGCUAGCGGCAGGCCUAACACAUGCAAGUCGAGGGGCAGCACAGGUAGCAAUACUGGGUGGCGACCGGCGGAUGGGUGCGUAACGCGUAUGCAACCUACCAUUGAUUGGGGCAUAGCCCGAAGAAUUCGGAUUAAUACUCCAUAAUAUUCAUCAAAGGCAUCUUUUAUGAAUUAAAGCUUUUGCGAUCAAUGAUGGGCAUGCGUGACAUUAGUUAGUUGGUGAGGUAACGGCUCACCAAAACGAUGAUGUCUAGGGGUUCUGAGAGGAUUAUCCCCCACACUGGUACUGAGACACGGACCAGACUCCUACGGGAGGCAGCAGUGAGGAAUAUUGGUCAAUGGACGCAAGUCUGAACCAGCCAUGCCGCGUGCAGGAUGACGGCCCUAUGGGUUGUAAACUGUCUUUUGUAUGGGGAGCAAAUAAGAUCUACGUGUAGAUUGAUGAGAGUACCAUACGAAU
rnacentral:rRNA from 1 species